rnacentral:rRNA from 1 species
AACAGGGAUUGCCUCAGUAACGGCGAGUGAAGCGGCAACAGCUCAAAUUUGAAAUCUGGCUCCUUCGGGGUCCGAGUUGUAAUUUGUAGAAGAUGCUUUGGGUGUGGCCCUGGUCUAAGUUCCUUGGAACAGGACGUCAUAGAGGGUGAGAAUCCCGUAUGUGACUGGGUGUCCACGCCCGUGUAAAGCUCUUUCGACGAGUCGAGUUGUUUGGGAAUGCAGCUCAAAAUGGGUGGUAAAUUUCAUCUAAAGCUAAAUAUUGGCCAGAGACCGAUAGCGCACAAGUAGAGUGAUCGAAAGAUGAAAAGCACUUUGGAAAGAGAGUUAAACAGUACGUGAAAUUGUUGAAAGGGAAGCGCUUGCAAUCAGACUUGCGCGCCGUUGAUCAUCCAGGGUUCUCUCUGGUGCACUCUGCGGCGCUCAGGCCAGCAUCGGUUCGGGUGGUGGGAUAAAGGCCUUGGGAAUGUAGCUCCUCUCGGGGAGUGUUAUAGCCCUCGGUGCAAUGCCGCCUACCUGGACCGAGGACCGCGCUUCGGCUAGGAUGCUGGCGUAAUGGUUGUAAGCGACCCGUCUUGAAACACGGACCAAGGAGUCUAACAUCUAUGCGAGUGUUUGGGUGUCAAACCCAUGCGCGUAAUGAAAGUGAACGUUGGUAAGAACCCUUAAGGGUGCAUUAUCGACCGAUCCUGAUGUCUUCGGACGGAUUUGAGUAUGAGCAUAGCUGUUGGGACCCGAAAGAUGGUGAACUAUGCCUGAAUAGGGUGAAGCCAGAGGAAACUCUGGUGGAGGCUCGCAGCGGUUCUGACGUGCAAAUCGAUCGUCAAAUUUGGGUAUAGGGGCGAAAGACUAAUCGAACCAUCUA